rnacentral:sRNA from 1 species
GUCAGUACAAAAGCAUUCCCUACUAGAAAAAUAGCUAUGUCCACAGCCUUCUGGUGAGGGGUUGGUUGCCUGGCUUCAGUCUAUUUCAAAAGUCAGUGCAUAUAAAUUGAAUAUUAAGUCAUAUGGUGUAUAUGGCACUUAAACAUCACUUCCUAACAGAAUUAUUUGGUCUUGUGAUUGGAGUCCUGACAGCAAGUAUUUCUUCACUGGGAGUCGAGACAAAAAGGUGGUUGUCUGGGGUGAGUGCGACUCCACUGAUGACUGUAUUGAGCACAACAUUGGCCCCUGCUCCUCAGUCCUGGACGUGGGUGGGGCUGUGACAGCUGUCAGCGUCUGCCCAGUGCUCCACCCUUCUCAACGAUAUGUGGUUGCAGUAGGAUUGGAAUGUGGAAAGAUUUGCUUAUAUACCUGGAAAAAGACUGAUCAAGUUCCAGAAAUAAAUGACUGGACCCACUGUGUAGAAACAAGUCAAAGCCAAAGUCAUACACUGGCUAUCAGAAAAUUAUGCUGGAAGAAUUGCAGUGGAAAAACUGAACAGAAGGAAGCAGAAGGUGCUGAGUGGUUACACUUUGCAAGCUGUGGUGAAGAUCACACUGUGAAGAUACACAGAGUCAAUAAAUGUGCACUGUAAUGGA